CCAGCACCUGCGGUAAUUCCAGCUCCAAUAGCGUAUAUUAAAGUUGUUGCAGUUAAAAAGCUCGUAGUUGGACUUGUGGCUGUGGUGGAUGUCCUUUUUGGUACGUUCUGCUGCGGCUAUUUUUGGGUGGAAUCUGUGUGGCAUUAGGUUGUCGUGCAGGGGAUGCCCCUCGUUUACUGUGAAAAAAUUAGAGUGUUCAAAGCAGGCUUAUGCCGUUGAAUAUAUUAGCAUGGAAUAAUAAGAUAGGACCUUGGUACUAUUUUGUUGGUUUGCGCACCGAGGUAAUGAUUAACAGGGACAGUUGGGGGUAUUCGUAUUCCAUUGUCAGAGGUGAAAUUCUUGGAUUUUUGGAAGACGAACUACUGCGAAAGCAUUUACCAAGGAUGUUUUCA
rnacentral:rRNA from 1 species